ACGCAGUAGGAUAGGCGAAGCGUGCGAUUGGAUUGCACGUCUAAGCAGUAAGGCUGAGUAUUAGGCAAAUCCGGUACUCAUUAAGGCUGAGCUGUGAUGGGGAGAAGACAUUGUGUCUUCGAGUCGUUGAUUUCACACUGCCGAGAAAAGCCUCUAGAUAGAAAAUAGGUGCCCGUACCGCAAACCGACACAGGUAGUCAAGAUGAGAAUUCUAAGGUGAGCGAGCGAACUCUCGUUAAGGAACUCGGCAAAAUGACCCCGUAACUUCGGGAGAAGGGGUGCUCUUUAGGGUUAACGCCCAGAAGAGCCGCAGUGAAUAGGCCCAAGCGACUGUUUAUCAAAAACACAGGUCUCUGCUAAACCGUAAGGUGAUGUAUAGGGGCUGACGCCUGCCCGGUGCUGGAAGGUUAAGAGGAGUGGUUAGCUUCUGCGAAGCUACGAAUCGAAGCCCCAGUAAACGGCGGCCGUAACUAUAACGGUCCUAAGGUAGCGAAAUUCCUUGUCGGGUAAGUUCCGACCCGCACGAAAGGCGUAACGAUUUGGGCACUGUCUCAACGAGAGACUCGGUGAAAUCAUAGUACCUGUGAAGAUGCAGGUUACCCGCGACAGGACGGAAAGACCCCGUGGAGCUUUACUGUAGCCUGAUAUUGAAAUUCGGCACAGCUUGUACAGGAUAGGUAGGAGCCUUUGAAACGUGAGCGCUAGCUUACGUGGAGGCGCUGGUGGGAUACUACCCU
rnacentral:rRNA from 1 species